rnacentral:lncRNA from 10 species
CAGUUGUCCCAACUCAUGAAAAAGUCCCAAAGAGAAGAGCUGUUAAGUCCAGGUCUCUACCAUCUUCACCAUCCCCACAUGGACAUGGGUCAAGGUUGCGUCCCAUACAUGAGGAGACAAGAGGAAUGUGUUGGGGUAAAGGAAUACGUAAGGUCCUGAUUCCGAGAAAUGAAAUUUGGUGCAGUGAGGAGGAAAAACAACGUGGAAAGAAGAAAACCCUGCGAUAGCCAUUCAAAACCCCACAAUCAGACCUUGUUUAUGUGAUAUGGACUCUGAGCUUUCUCUUAAAAAAUGCAUGCGAUUAAGAAAAUACUUUGAGAACCUAAUAACAGUUCCCUGAAACCUGAGAUCCA